AGCAUUUAAAAACAAUCCACAAAAGUGGUCAAAAUACGGUGUUAUCAAGGGGGAAUAUGUGAAAAUUCUCAAAAGAAGCAAUAGGACGAAACAAGAGGUUCUUGCAAAGAAAAAUCAAGUCAAGAAGGGCUAAAAGGAAUGGAAACAAUUGGGAGAUGGUGCCAAUUCUGAAUUUCAAACCAAGGCCAUAGCUACAUCAUGAAAUCGUUAACCUAUACUCUUUUUCCCUUCAUAAAGUUUUAUUGCAAGAGGUUUUCUUUAGUAAGAUUUUUAAUGAGGUAGUUUGGCGUGUUGCAAGCUUGGCCUGUGGUCCUCUUUAGCGUCUCGACGACCAAGCUUGUGGGGGAGUAUUAGAGAGGAAGAAGAGAAGAAGAGGUGAGGCCGAAGUCAAGAAGACAAAGCCGAAGAAUUUCACUCAAGAUCCAAGUUGGUGCGGUUCAAAAAAGACCAAUGAUGGAUUAAAGUUACAUUGAGAGGCUAUGGAGGAGUUAAUGAAGUGUUGUGUAAGGAUUGAAGGAGUUAGAUAAGUGGAGUUCUCAAUAGAUCAGGAAGUAGGACGCUUAAAGGCUGAAGACCGAUAAGCGUCCAUACAGAUCAAGACUGUGUGGUGAGCUGCGGAUUGAUAUCUGACCGUUAGAGGCUGAUAAGAGACCGUACAGCUCUACAUUCUAGUGAGACUCAAUCACUUAGUCUCGGCACAUCUACAAGAAGAUCAAGGCUGAGGUUCAUCUGCAAGAAGGGCGAGGCCCAUAUCCAAGAAGGGCAAGAAUGAGAAGGAAUAAAGCCCAGUGUAUGCAAGACAAAGCCCAUAAGUGACAAGAAGAGAAGGGAAACCGAUUUGAAUUGGAGUCUGGACUCACAUGUGGCUUUAGUCGUAUGUGACCGUUUGUGAGCUGUCACUUUCAAUAGUGUGAACACUAAAUAAAGAAGCAUGUGACUCUGUCUUUCCUUGUAAUACAGAACGAUAUUUUAAAAUGUUCACACUAGGUUUCUCAUGUUUAAUUCGCUAUAUAUAUAUAUGUCUGUAAUAUGGUCACAAGAAUCAUCUUAAUAUACACAAGUAUUUUACACAAUAUUAUCUCUCUUAUUUUUCUCUUGUGUUCUUGUCCUAAAGUCACAAUGUAGACUAAGUAAGAACACGUGUAGGGCUGCUUAUAGCAGCCAAAUACACUCUUUAAUUCAUCCUUUCCUAAGUAAUUCAAGAGUGAUUCAUUUGCUUUUCUCAUUCUCUACUAAAGAACAAUUUCUAGUUCUCUUGUUAUUUCUCUCUUAAUAAUGAAUCAAUUUACUGAUUCUGAUCCUUCUUUUGAGUAUAAAAACUCUAUUGUGUUGUAUUACUCCUCAGGUUAAGUCUCAUAUAGAUUUAUUUCUCUCCUUUAUAGAAUCAGUUUCAUUCACCUUGGUGAGGUUCUAUCAAGUUCUUUGUGUUGGUUCUGUCGCAAGUUGAUUGUUCCUUUUCUCAUUUUCAUAAAUUCCAACAUGGUAUCAGAGCAGUGACUUUCCUCGUUUUUCACCAUUUUUAUUCAAGACAAUUUUUUUCUCUUGUUUAAAGUCAUGGAAAACACUAAGUCUUGUGUUAUUUCUUUGCUCUUGUUGUUUAAAGCUCACAGAAAAUUCUUCUCCAUGUGUGAUAAUGUGAGUAAUUAUUUUUAAAGCCAUUAAUACACCAAAGUUCUUGCUGUUCUUGGUUGUUCUUGGUUCUCUUUGCUUCCGCAAAACUUAGGAAAAACAGAGCAAAAAUCUGUCCAUUUGAACUCUUGAGCAAAUUCUCUAUUCUCCAUUCUAUUUUGCUUCCGCGUAUUUUGUCUAUUCUCCUCCAUUCUCUAAAUUCUGUUUUCUUCCACUAUUCUCUCUAUUCUUCACCAAUCUCCUAAUUCUUUAUUCUCUCAACCUCUCACUAUCAUAAAUAAUUCAAAUGUUUAAAAUUUCAAACAGUGAGAUGGUGUUUUGUUUUCAUUUGGGAUCGCUUUCUCUCUCAUGAAAGCAUAGCGAGUGUGCAGUGUUUUGAAACAGUCAUGAGGCUAGAUUCAAACACUAAAGGCUUCAAGAAAGCCAUGAAAAAGACGCCCAACAUAAUGCUUGGAGUUUGAACCAGUAACCAUCAAGCUUUGGAGACCACAAGACAAGCCCAAUCUAGUCUUAACCCGGCUGACUUGAUGAUGGCGGACCAAAGAGGCUGACCUGAAGAUAACAGACCCCAAGGUGGCUAAGGUGGAAGUUCAAGUGUAGAGGAAAGCUGGUGGAAGGCUCUGAAACAAUCCCAAAGCGUUUGUGUAUGUGUAUAGCUGAUGGGGUUCAGGAAAUCCACAAGGUGUCAAGAUGUGGUGUCAAACCAUAUCCAAGUCAAGAAGUGCGGAGGAGGAUAAACCUCAAAUGGAGAGACAAAUCGAUGCAAUGUCUCAUGGAGCAAAACUGCAUCUCAAAAUCCUCGAAGUCCUCUUCAUCUCAAAAGGGUUUAAAGGAGAGGAGGAAUGUGUGAAAAUUUUAAAAGAAGCAAUAGGAGGAAUGAAGAGGUUCUUGUGAAGAGAAAUCAAGUCAAGAUGGGCUAACAGGAAUGGAAACACUUGGAAGAUGGUUUUUAAUGACGUAGUAUGGCGUGUUGGAAGCUUGGCCUCUAGGCCUCUUUGGGGUCUCGACGACCAAGCUUGCGGGGGAGUAUUAGAGAGGAAGAAGAGAAGAAGAGGCGAGGCUGAAGUCAAGAAGACAAGGCCGAAGACUUUCACUCAAGAUCCAAGUUGGUGCGGUUCAAAGAAGACCAAUGAUGGAUUAAAGUUACACUGAAUGGCUAUGGAUGAAUUAAUGAAGUGUUGUCUAAGGAUUGAACGAGUUAGAUUAGUGGAGUUUGUUGGGGUCGAUUUCACCCCAAACAUUUUAACCAUCUCGAAAAUGACUAGGUACCUGGAAAAACCGAGCCCCGCAAAGGAAAAACCGAGCUGCGCACGAGGAGACAUAGGUCGAGCCGAGCUGCUUCUUAGUUGGAUUGACCGAGCCCUGCAGAGGGAGUAAGUCGGCCGAGUCGUACUGUGAGACAUGGGCCGAGCCGCGCCUCGAUGAGUUGGGACAAACAGCGUGACGCUUCAGUAAGCAGACUCCAACAACUAGUGGGCCUAGCCACGAAGAUGUAAGGCACAUAGAAACUCUAGACAAAGCGAUAUGGCAGCGGCCGCACAAGGUGAUAAAUAAAUAUUCCAAAAAUAUUUCCCGAGAUUUUCGGCUAGACGGUUUAAAGAUUGAGUAUAAAUAAUCAAUGUAAUCGAUUCAUUAUGUAACUUUUACCGACUCGAGAGCAAUAAGACUAAAACACUUUU